UUACUCUUUUGCAUAUACU
rnacentral:snRNA from 1 species